rnacentral:rRNA from 1 species
AUUGAACGCUGGCGGCAUGCCUUACACAUGCAAGUCGAACGGCAGCACGGGAGCAAUCCUGGUGGCGAGUGGCGAACGGGUGAGUAAUAUAUCGGAACGUGCCCAGUCGUGGGGAUAACGUAGCGAAAGCUACGCUAAUACCGCAUACGAUCUAUGGAUGAAAGCGGGGGAUCGCAAGACCUCGCGCGAUUGGAGCGGCCGAUAUCAGAUUAGGUAGUUGGUGAGGUAAAGGCUCACCAAGCCGACGAUCUGUAGCUGGUCUGAGAGGACGACCAGCCACACUGGGACUGAGACACGGCCCAGACUCCUACGGGAGGCAGCAGUGAGGAAUAUUGGACAAUGGGCGCAAGCCUGAUCCAGCCAUGCCGCGUGCAGGAAGAAGGUCCUAUGGAUUGUAAACUGCUUUUAUACAAGAAGAACACUCCCUCGUGAGGGAACUUGACGGUACUGUAUGAAUAAGGACCGGCUAA